UCCCAGCACUGUGGCUCAGUGGUAGUGCAUCGGCUUUGCUUGCAGAAGAUGCCAGGUUCUUCAGAAUAUCCUGGUAAGGCUGGGAA